UUUUGUCUUCUUCUCUUUUUUUUGUUGUUGUUGUCACCAGGUUGUGUCGUCCUUUGGAUCGCUGGUAUUCUUCUGCAAAUUUGUCUCCUUUAUCCAGCCUCAGUUGUUUUGCUCUGUUGUGUUUUUUUCCCCCAUUGUGUUUCUACUCUUUUUGGUCUGCUGUACUUUUUGGUUUACUGGUAACAUUACAGAUGAAAGAAAGCAUGUAAUUGGUAAUGAAUUAAUAGUAAAAAGUAUAGUGGUGUGUUCUUUUGUUGCAUCUACAGGUGCAUCUAAACAAAUGAGAAUAUCAUCGGAAAUGUUAUUUAUUUCUAUAAUUUAGUUCAAAAGCACUGAAACUCUGAUAUACUUUACUCUGCAUUUUCAUUUUUACCAUCUACAAGGAGAAUAAUCCGUAAAAUGUCAUUACCAAACAGUGUUCUGAGUCCUGUAUCCAAGCGCAUUUAUGGAAAGUUAAGUGGAAGGAAAACCAGUUGCAGAGAAAGGUGCUCAAAAGAGAUUCACAAGGCGUGACCUGUGACUGGAGUCAGAGCUUCACCAGGCAUCAGUCCCAGACACACCCUGGAAAUUGGCGACAAAUGUUGCUUUGCUUUAGUUAACCCACUGCAGAACCAAAGUCAAAUUCAGGAGUGUUUUUACCUGAGAUAUGGGAAAAAGAGUGGACUGCUGCUUAAUGGCCCAAAGUUCUCAAAGUUUUGCAUUUAAUUUGCAAAUCAAGAUCCUAAAGUCUUCCAGGAAUUCUUUGUCACACUGUCAUUGUGCAAACUUGCCUGACUCAAAGCUGUUCUUGUUCUUAUUUUUUUUUCUGAAGCAUUUUUUUUCUUCCACUCAACUUCCCUUCAGUAUACUUGGAUGAAUUACUCUUUGAAAACCUUUUCAAAGUUAUGGAGGUGUAGCUUUAUAUUUAGGCUGAGAGUCAUCUAAAUUUUCAAAUCUCAACUACAUGUCUGGAGUCAAUAAAAGCCGAUUGUUUGGAAAGGUGAAAGUUCGGGAAAAAAAGGAGAGGUAAAAGUUGCUUUUACUGAGCCACUAAAACAAAACAAGUCUUUGAACGCAAGUUUAUUUAUAUGGCGCCUUCAUACAUGUAAAGCAAGAGAGAAAGGAGAAUCUAAUAAAAAGCACAUAAUAUGUUGAUCCAUAAUUGUAAAAGAAUUAAGCAUCACAUACAAAAAUAGAAAUGUGUAUGAGAAAUUAACUGAUGAAUCAAUUUAGAGCAAAAAUUAAAUUAUUAAAAUGGUUCAGGCAACAGUUUUCCUAUUUUCUGACUUGAAACGUGCUAAACUGGAAAAACCAGAGUGAUAAGAGAUGGUUGAAUUGUCUAAUGCCAAAGAAAAACAAGGCAGAGGAACAAUCCCAAAAAACCUUUAAAGCUAUGAUGAAAUGGUUUAGAUCAAAGCAUUUUAAGCAUUUGUUAAAAUGGCCCAGUCAAAGUCCAGACCUAAAGCAAGACUUUUAAAAAGUCUAUCUAACCAAUCUGACUGAGCUCAAGCUAUGUUACUAUGAAGAAUGGGCAAACGUUUUCAGACUUAAUCCUCUUCCAAAGGGGAACGCCUUGACAACGU